rnacentral:lncRNA from 1 species
AUGGAGUCUCCGCAGCUUUCAGCUGCAGACUCAGAGCGCAGGAAUGAACUGGAGGAAGGGGGCGGAGCUUCCUCUGUAACAGUGUGUGAUGUGGAUCCAAAAGUACCAUAUGUGAAGAAUGACCCAUGGUCAUGCGCCAGCUCCUCUGACAAUGAGGAGGAGGAUAAUGAAGGCAAGAAGAAGAAGAAAAAGCUGAAGAGGAAAAGAAGCAAGAAAUCCAGCUCCUCUUCCUCAUCAUCCACGUCAUCUUCCUCUUCCUCAUCAGACAGUGACAGCGGUGAGGAAGAAAAGAAGAAAGAGAAAUGGAAAGGAUGGAGUCCCCUGACAGAGAACACGAUUGUGGAAGGUCUGGAGCGACUCACUGAAUUCACUCUAGCUGGAGAAAACAAAACAGACAAGAAGAAGAAGAAACGCAAAGAUUGCCAUGCAGCCACUUCAGACAGUGAGGAUGAAAAGAAGAAGAAGAAGAAGAAAAACUUGAAGAAAUUGAAGAAGCUGCAGAAGAAAGUGAAGAAGCUGAAGAGGAAGAUAAAGAAGAUGGUAAAAAAAACACAAAUUAAUAGAAGAUGAUAUUUGUGUCUAUUCUGUUUGGUUUUUGACAUGUGUGUGUAUUCUGUGUUUGUUAGGACUCCAGCUCGUCUGAAAGUUCAUCCUCAGACAGUGAAGAUGAUCACAAGAAGAAGAAGAAGAAAAAGAAGAUGAAGAAGAAGAAGAAGCAGGUAACUGCACGUUGCAAAGAUGUGUAGCGCAAGCUCUUUGUUUAGUCUCUUUGGUUGACACGCAUGAACGGAGAGCUGCGGGACAGCAGAGAGCUGGUUGGAGGGAGGGUUUACAAGUGUGCAGGAGCUGUUUUGUGUUUAUCUUAUGAUAAAGUUGUUGCACGUCUGCUGGCUCCCACCUCUGAAUGAGCGAGUUUGAGCUACUUGUACAUUAAGAUAUUGUUUAGAAAGAACCAAACACCCGCGAAGAAACUUGACAUAGACGAGCAUACAAACCUGCUGCCAGCGCGUGUUUGGGAAGUGUUGUUGUAGAGCAACACAAACAGCACGCAGAAGUAUGUCAAUGCACGGCUACAUGCAAGGCAGGUGCCGUGGGUCACGCCGAUCACCCAAUGCAAUGUAUAAAUCAGCCUUUAAAGUCUGAGGCUGAUUUAUUCUCCAGGGGCUGGUUUUUCAAAAGUAAUCCACUAGGGUUUUGGAUAAGAGAUUGGAUCAAAUCUUGAAAAUAGGUUUUUAAAAAGAAAAAACGGAUUACAUAAUUGGAUUAGAUCACGUAAUCCAAUCUUGGUUUUGAUCCAGUUCAAACCUUUAGUUUGAGUUUUUCAGACCUUUUUUUGUAGGAUUUGGAUCACUUUUAUAUUAAAAAAAAAUCUGAAUUAAACUGAUCCCAUCAAAAGGGUGGAUUUCAUGCCCAAAAUGUAAUGGAAACUUUUAAAUAUGUAUCAAAUAAUGUUAUAUUUGGAUCAUGCAGUAUCUUACGAGAUAUCCUAUUUAUUCAUACGGUUUUAAUUGUAUUUGUUCAUCUGUCAGGCUACAAUGAUUAGGUCUGCAUUAACGUAUUCAGCCUUUCAAUAUUGACCUCAUUCUUAAAUGCGGAAGUGCGCCUGUUUUCACGAUUGUUUUAGAACUUCCGAUUCAGUCGCCUAUGGGAGAAAUGACUAGAAAUAAUAAAUGGCAGAAAACGGUCAAACUACUGGCUCUACAAACAAAUUAGGGUGUCACGAUCCUCCAAAUCCUCGAUUUGAUUACAUUUUCGAUUCUAAAGGCACGAUUCGAUUCGAUUUUCGAUUAUGAAUAAUUAAUUAAUUAAUGACCAAUUAAUUAUUUGUAGCCUACCGUUUAAACUACCUGACCUGCAUGGUCUUUGUUUUACCCAUAAACAAAUCAUACAGUAAAUGAAUAAAGGCAAGAUACACACAUAAUUACCACCUGUCAAUCACUUUUUCUGCGGGACUCGUGAAUAGGCAGUGAUCUGUGUCAUUAUAAUGGCGUCGGUAAAAAAGACGCACAACCAGCAGGAACCAGCCAACAGUAUCUGAGGUGUUCGCUAAAAUGACUAAGUACAAGUGAGUGAAAGAUUGAAGCAGUCCUCUGACUGCCUGAACCUGCUGUCUCGAGCGCAUGGCUGUGUGUGCGUCUGUGUCUGUGUGGUCACGUGAUCUGCAUUUUCAGAGGUAGAGAGGAAGGAGGGCUGCUCAGAAACGCUACACGCCACUGUGGAUGUCAAAUCGUUGUCGUUCUAAAAUGCCAUUUAAAAACAAAGACAGUGUAAACAGGGCCUGAGUGUGUACUUUUCGCGAGUGGAUUUGCAAAGGGGGCGGGCGGAGGAUCGCGAUGCCGGUGUUGUCUAUCGGACGAACCGUACGUAAUACGUACAUAGCAGAGCUUGCAAAACUGUGUUUUUUUUUGUUGACAACACGAACGUUGUCAACAUAACUCACUGGAAAUCCAAAAUGCUUCCACACCGGCGACUACAUUGAAAGAGGAGAGGGUUUAAGUUCUGUCGACGGGUCUCCUGCUUCUGCAGUUUAACAAGCACUUCAACAAGCCUGUUUUUUUCCCGCUUGGCAAGCCGAGCUGACGUGACAUGGGGGCGUGGCGGCAUCGACGAUUCUAUUUUUUGAUUCGAUAAUCGAAAUUGAGCAUAAAUUUCGAUUGAUUUCGAUUAAAAAUCAAAAUCGUGACACCCCUACAAAUAAAUGUUUGCAUGACUACACCGACCAAGUAGAAUAAUAUAAUAAGAAAAUAGCGGUGGCUCGAAACAAGCAGUUUUUAACGACCAGAAGUCUCGAGCCAAAAAGAUUCAAAUGGCUACGCCCGCUCGUCGGCAAAGAAUAAGAUGAACAGACCUACAGCAAAGUAGAAAGUGUU